GCUUUUUCUCUUAGUUUUUGUAAGUCUUCUAUAUUAUUUUUAAGAUAUUCUAAAUAUUCUAUAUCUUUUGUUUUAAAAUAUUCAAUUAAAUUUGUUUUUAUAAUCAAUUUAUUUAUUUAUCCAAUUUGGACAUUUCCACGAGUCAACUUGGGCCACUCUUUUUCUUAUGGAUUACUUUGGACUGCCCAAAUAAGCCUUCAACAAACUACAUUUUACCGAUAUACGAUAAACUUUGGCGAGUUAUAGACUUUUAGGUCAAUUAUGCAACCCUUAGACUUUUAUCAGCACAAGCAUCAUCAUCAAAAUUCAAGAGUGGCAAUAUUGACCCAAUAAUAUAUAACCCACCCAACCUGCCUAAGUUUUAACCAAGGACCAAAUGUAUUUUGUAGGUGGACUGAUUUAUGCUAUGCACAGGUAACCCAUUAAAAACAUUACCAAAACCCGUGGAGACAUCCAACACCAACCUGUUUGAAUUUCCCAACUUCACUCGUGAACUUGUGCCAUAACUAGGUAAUAGCCCCCCAACCCCCCACAAUGCACGCCAAUCCGAUAGUAAGAUGAGUUCAACCCUUUCUCUUCCUUUUAUUCCUAAUUUAAACACUGCUCUCCGUACAUCUCACUUAUGGAAUUAAACUAGGUGCAUUGUCAUUGUUUUUUACUAAGUACAUUGUUAUCUGGAGGAUGCGAUUAGGAUAGAAGGUUAGUGAUAGUUUGGGUCGUUGGGGUAGGGCAUAACUGGGUGGGUGUACUUUUCUUAUUAUGCCACAUUGUUGCAUGCCUUAUUACGUAUUUGUUUACUAUUCUUUGUUUAUUAUCCUUUGUGGGUGGAGUAGUUAUGUCUUCUCAUCUUGUUCCACACUUUAUUUCGGAUUUAAUUAUUAUCUUGUGUCUUGAGCUGGGAGUUUAUCGGAAAUAGCCUCUCUACCUCAUCAGAGGUAGUGGUAUGGACUGCGUACAUCUUACCCUCCACAGACCCCACUAUGUGGGAAUACACUGGGUUUCUUGUUGUUGUAUAUGUUUUAUCAAUGCUCACAAUUGCCAAUUCAAUUAGUUCCUGAAGUUAAAUUCUAAUUUUUCUCUACUAUUUGUUCUCUAUUGUUUUUACGAAAAGGGGUCUAAAAUGUCCUUCAACUAUCUAAAAUGGUGCAAAAAUGUGUUUCAUUUACCUAUUGGGCCUAAAAUGCCCUUCAACUAUCUAAAAUAUUGCAAAAAUGCCCUCUUCGUCUACCUAUAGGGCCUAGUUUGCCCUUUUAUUUAACAGAUUAAGUUAUUGAAGGACAUUGUAUGCCCAAUAGGUAGAUGGAGGGCAUUUUUGCACCAUUUUAGAUAGUUAAAGGGCAUUUUAGGCCCUUUUCUAUAUUUGCUAUAUAAAAAUUUUAUAAAAAUUUAAUAAAAAUAAACAAAAAUAAAAAUUAAAUUUAAAAAGCGACGGACAACGUCGUUUUAUAAAAAAUUAAUUUUUAUUUAGUUUUAAUAAAAGCGACGUUGUCCAUCGCUUUUCGUAAAAAUAAAAAAAAUAAAAAAUAAUUACAAAUUGCGAUGGACAACAUCGCUUUUCUAGAAUUAAUAUUUUUAAAAAAAAAAAAAAUUAUAGUGACGUUGUCCGUCACUUUUAAUAAAAAUAAACAAAACUAAAAUUAAAUUUAAUAAGCGACGGACAACGUCGCUUUUCAAAAAAUUAAUUUUUAUUUAGUUUUAACAAGCGACGUUGUCCAUCGCUUUUUGUAAAAAAUAAAGAAAAAUUAAAAAUAAUUACAAAUUGCGACGGACAGCGUCGCAUUUCUAGAAUUAAUAUUUUAAAAAAUAAAAAUUAUAGCGACGUUGUCCGUCGCUUAUAAUAAAAAUAAACAAAAAUAAAAAUCAAAUUUAAAAUUCGACGGACUACGUCACUUUUCAAAAACUAAUUAUUAUUAUUAUUUGUCAAUAAAUUACGACGCUACAUGUAAACUAAUUAUAGAUGAAAAUGCAUUUAUAAUUUUUUUUAAUAAAUGCAACGAAUAGCAUCAUAAUUUUAAUAAGGUAUUUCUAGAAAAGCGACACUGUCUAUCGCAAUUUGUAAUUAUUUUUAAUUUUUCUUUAUUUUUACAAAAAGCGACGAACGUCUCUUUCUUUAAAACUAAAUAAAAAUUAAUUUUUUGUAAAGAGACAUUGCCCAUUGUUUUUUAAAUUAAAUUUUUAUUUUUGUUAUUUUUAUUAAAUUUUUAUAUAGUAUGUACGGAAAAGGGCCUAAAAUGUCCUUCAACUAUCUAAAAUGGUGCAAAAAUGUCCUUCAUCUACCUAUUGGGCCUACAAUGCCCUUUAAUAACUUAAUUUGUUAAAUGAAAGGGCAAACAAGGCCCUAUAGGUAGACGAAGAGGGCAUUUUUGCACCAUUUUAGAUAGCUGAAGGGCAUUUUAGGCCCAAUAGGUAGACGUAGGGCAUUUUUGCACCAUUUUAGAUAGUUGAAGGGCAUUUCAGGCCCUUUUCCGUUAUUUUAAAGUUUUUUACAAAUAUGGAAAAUUGACUUCAGCUCACUUUCUUGAAGUAUAAGUGUGUUCUAUGUAUUAUUUCAUGAAAGAGAUUUUCUAAAAGCUUGUUCAUUGAUACUAUUAAAGACACAGCUGGUAGUACUAAUAAAUGCUAAUUUAGUAUAUAUGUAAUAUUUCUAUAAUUUAAAGAAAUAGUACGAAGCCACAACAGUUGCUAGAGAAACUAGUAUUUCAUAAUAUUUCUUCAGUUUUGUGCUAAGAUAAAGAGACUAUUUGGAUGGGCUAAGAUAAAGAGACUAUUUGGAUGGGCUUACAGCUUUUGGCUCAUACGUUAGGAAUUCUCGCUUACAGCUUAUUUUUUACUUAAAAUAAGUGAUCAAAAAGAACUUUUUUAUUUUAUCCAAACACUAUAAAAAUGCUUAAAAGCACUUAAAUAAGCUAAAUCCAAACAGGCUCUAAAUCUAUAUACUAUAUGAAAAAACAUGAAGGUUUUUUAAAAUGUUGAUUGAACUUUGUGCGAUUCAUAUUAAAAGACACUUCAAUAGACAAAUAAUUGUCAUUUAAUUAUUCACUAUUUUCCUCAAAUAAUUGUCAUUUAAUUAUUAUUCUAAUAUUUAGGACUUUGAAAUUAAUUUAAGUUACAACAAUUAAAUUUUACUUAUUUGUAGGAUGUAAGAAUUAUAAUAUUGAGUACUUUAAUAUUGACUGAAAUUAUGCUUCUUAAAUCUUUCCUCAUUGGAACUAUAUUAAAAGUUGGUCAUAAAAUCUUUACGCAUUCAAACUAAAUAGAGCUCAAUUAGAAAUUCCUAGAUUUUGGAGUGUUCUUACAUAGUUCAAAUAAGUAAAGAGUUUAGGACUUCUAAUAUAACUCAAAUAAACCGAUAAAUGAAUUGGCAGAGGUUGUCAAUUUGGCAGCAAUUUUGGGUGGAAGAGUAGGUGAGCUACCAACCACAUAUUUAGGCAUGCCUUUGGAAGCCAAAAGCCAAGUCUAAAGGGAUUUGAAAUGAAGUAAUUGAAAAGUGUGAGAAGAAGCUUACCCACUGAAAGAGUCAAUACCUCUCUUUAAGAGGAAGAUUGACUAUGAUUAAUAGUGUGCUUGAUGUACUUCCAACAUAUAUGAUGUCAAUCUUCCCAGCACCAAACAAUGUGAUAAAGAGGAUAGAUGUCCUAAGAAGAAACUUUCUCCGGUAGGGGAAUGAAGACAAGAAAAAAUUUCACUUGGUCAAAUGAGAGGUGGUAACAAAAAGCAAGAAAGGAGGAGGAAUAGGGAUCAAGGAUAUGAAAAUGCAAAAUAGGAGCCUAAUGAUGAAAUGGCUUUGGAAAUUUGUUACAGGGAAAAAUAUGUUAUGGAAAGAGGUAAACAGGGAAAAAUAUAAAAUAGAGGAGGGGAAAAUAUGCUAUGGAAAGAGGUAAACGGGGAAAAAUAUAAAAUAGAGGAUAAGUGGAUAAUAAAGAUUGUGGUUACUCCAUACGGAUGCAGCAUUUGGAGAUCCAUUUGGAAUCUUUGGCCACUAGUUUUAUCCAGGAUUAGUUUCAAAGUAGGGAAUGGUCAGAAAGUAUUAUUUUGGUAGGACAAACGGAUAGAUCAGAGGCACCUGAAAUAGCUUUACCCAGACAUUCACAUCCUAAGCCUACAGCAACAGGUCACUCUAUCUGAAAUGUGGACAGGACAGGGAUGGAAUUUGCAGCUUAGAAUAAAUUUAAAUGAUUGGGAGAUGGAGAUGAUAGGUGCUUUCUACAGUACUAUAAAAUCAUUUAACAAUCUAACAAGGGAAGAGGACACAACGGUAUGGAAGAUUGGCAGUAAAGGGAAGUAAAGGGAUUUUUAGUGUAAACUCUGCAUACAAAGAUCUCAUCAUCUCACAAACAGGAGAACUCUCACCAUGGAAAUGAUAUGGAGGGUCAAAAUCCCCUACAAAGUCAACUAUUUCUCGUGGUUGUUGGCUAAGGAAGUAAUGCUAACACAAGAAAAUAUGAAGAAAAGAGUUUCCAACUAUGUUCUAGAUGUUAUUUAUGUGGGAAACAAGUCAAGACAGUUAACCAUCUCUUUUUACAUUGCAAAUGGAUGGAUAAGCUUUGGAGGAUAUUCAUCAGCCAAAGGAAGAUUACUUGGGUAAAACCAAGAAACAUUGAAGGUGUUCUUAAGUGUUGGAUCAGAGUGGGAAAUACUACAGAAAAGGAGAGAUGGAAGAUUGUCCCAAAGGUGGACAAUAUGGAAAGAAAGAAAUCAAAGGUGUUUUAAAGGCAAACAGAAUAAUUUACAGAAUUUUAAGAUGAAUUGUCUAUCGGAAACAGCCUCUCUACUUCUUCGGAGGUAGUGGUAUGGACUGCGUACAUCUUACCCUCCCCAGACCUCACUUUGUGGGAAUACACUAGGCUUUGUUGUUGUUGUUGUUGUAUUUUAAGAUGAAUUGUUUAGCUCUUUAUUAUUUUUGGUGUGAACAGAAAGUGUUAGGACAAACAGAAGAUAGUUUUGAUGUACUAGACUAUUUGUGACAAAAAGUACAAAUAGGAAUCAAAUAGUUUCUGUAAUACUUUUGGAAGGGGGACUACACAUUUUUGAUGUAGUACACCUGUGUAUAUAUAGAUAAAAAGUUACCUUUCCAAAAAAAAAAUCAAUUUAAAAUACUAAAUAGUAGUUCUUCAUCUUACAAAUAAGUAAAGAUUUAAUAGUUAUAACGUUAAUU
rnacentral:lncRNA from 1 species